UAAAAUUAUCACCGUCACAGACCUCUUUAUGGUUUUCUUUUAAUCACCUCGCCUGGAUAAAAUUGCCUAUUGAUUGACCUUAAAUGAAAUCUACUUUAACCUGGGAACUCCAUUAAGAGAAUAAUUCAGGAGGCUGCCUCUCUACCAGGGCAUUGUUGACCUGACUGCCUGGGAAUGAAUGAUGCGCCUCGUUCCGGGAGUCUCGUGAUUCCUAACAAGUUUAAAUGUUUAUCUGAACUCCUUGAAACCUGGCUGUCUUCUUCUUCCUCAGCCCUGAUUUCAUCCUUCUUUUUUUCUUUUUUCCUUAGAGAAAUACAGUUUUGCUUUCCCUCCCUUAGAAUCUGCUUCACUGGGGUCUCCUGGGCACUCUAUGCUAGUGGACUUUCCUGAUCCCUGACAUCAUCUUGACCGUCUCUCCCGAGGACAGGGAGCACUGGAAAUGCAGCCGGGCCUCGAAGUUCCCCGUAAACUGUACCGAAUGCAUUUUGACUUGUACUGGGUGGGUCUCGUCUGAGAAGGCAUUGUCUGCUCUGGAAUCGCUUAUUCCGGUAGAGUCAUACCAGCAUUGCCGACUGGAGAUUUUUGUUAUUUUUUUUCCUGGACAACACAGAAUGGAUCAGGGUACUGGAAGCCUGGCAGAGGGGACAGAGGACCUCACCUAAGGUCAGCAGAGGGGCAGGAGAAUACCUGCCUCUUCAUAUGCAGAUGGGGACACAUGCUGCAAAUCUGUCACCUGUCUGCAGACGUGAAGGGGGGUUUGCAUGACACCCAAGAGGGCACUGACAGAGCUAGGGAACUCAUACUCCAUCCGUCUCCAUGUGAGGAGCCUGAAUCAUCGUGGCUCAUUGAGAGUGACUGAAGUUGGGGGGAAACCUACGUUGAAGUGGGCUGUGAGAAAACCGUCUCAGAACGGAGAAGCAGCCCCCUCGCCCCUGCUCCUUGUCUGUCCUGGACAAGGCUAUGUGCUCCUCCUCUGUGCUGGAUUCAGCACAAGGGGUACGUCCUAUGAGUGACACUCGUCACACUUAAUAAAAAAUUGCCUGUAGAGUUGCUUAGUUUCCCACUGGAUUCUGCCAUGGAUGGGUGCAGAGACUCGGUGGCCUUGGGCUGCUCCUAGGACCUGGCUCAGGGCUCAGGGCUUGGCCCUGGGUGAGCAAUCAAUAAACUGCAUUAUUGAAUGAAUGAAUGAAUGAGACGUCCAUGAUGUUCAGAAGAAAUACUCCCCUCUGAAAAUGAUGUGUUCUAGGAAUCAGAAGAAAAGUUUAGAAAACAAUGCAAGAAGACACAACCAGUGGGGUCCUCAGAAAGAAGGGGGCCAAGUGGAAGAACCAUCUGGGCACAGCCCUGAUCCGGAGGUGGGACUGGGGAGAUGAGAGGUAUUGAGAGGAAACCAGCAUGGCAACAGCAGAGUUAAAACUCCCUCCUGUCAGAAAGGGCAGGAUCAGCAUCACAGGGGGCCAGAUCCGUGACCCAGGUGGAUAUGUACUUCCUGGAAUAUGAAGUUCUUUGAGCAAGAUGCCGGAAAAAUCCAACUCUGAAGACCCGGAGGAAUUCCUUUGCAGUAGAAUCCUCUCCUAAUAAAGCCCUUGUAUCUAAGUCCUGGCCUCGGGGUCUGAUUUCAUGGGAUCUAAACCAGGACACUGUCUGACCAUGGACAGGCAGCUAGAAGCCCCUGGUGGCUGGGCACCCAUGAGUGUGAGACGUGAUGGCCGGAGCUGGGGCAACAGCCAUGGAGCAAGAGAUUGGAACAGAGCCCUCAGACACACAGGAAGCAGAACAGGAGAAGCCCUGUUCUAAGGUGUCACACCAAACCUAAUCAAGAUAGGACAUAUCCCAAAUCCCGGGCUGCAUUGCUGAGUCCUGAUGAUCAUGGAGGAGAACUCAGAGAAGAAAUCUGAACGGGCGGUUACGAUAAGUGCAGAAUCUCACUUCCUCACCCCCUAGAACACGGUGUACCCAUGUGACUAUGAAAGGUAAAGAGCAAUGCCCUGUGCCCCUCCUGGGCUGAAGCAUUGAGCUGCUGCCUCUUCCCUCUCUUGUGUAGUCCAGAAGCAUCAUGUCCACCUGGUAAGAUAAUUAAAUGUUGGAGCCUCCACUGGCCUGGGCCCCAGCGGGUUACGGUGAGCUGAGACUCCUCCCCCUGCACUGAACAUGGAGCACUUAUAAGAACGAAACCUCUGGUGGUUGAAGCAAUGAGCUUUGGGCUUGUUUGUUAGUGCAGAAUCACUGACUGAUACUGUCUGCCCAUGUCGGAAUGUUUGUAUAUCCUCAAAAUUCACGUGUUGAAACCUAUUCCCUUGGUGUGGAAUCAAUAAGAGGAGGAAUCUUUAGAGAAAUGAUUAAGUGAUAAGGGAAAGUCCUUAGGAAUGGAAUUCGUGUCCUUCUGAAAAUGAGGCUCAAAGGACUUUACUCACCCCUCCCACCACACGAGGACACAGCAAGAUGGCGGCAUCUAUGAAGCACACAGGGUGAGGGCUCCCCAGAUACUGGAUCUACUGCCUCCUUGGUCUUGGCCUUCCCAGCCUCCAGACUAUAAGCAGUACAUUUCUGUUGUUAUAAAUUACUGGGUCAAAGGUAUUUUGGACUUAGAUUCUGAGGUUCCAUGACCCUGCCGCAUUUCUAAUGGGUCUCUAGACUUGAGUUAGGCAGCAUCAGGGCCAGGGACAGAAUUGUGACUGCUUUUCUGAGACUUUGUGGGCAAACAGGAUACUCCCAGUGUCCUUCUAGAUCUAUUUUAGGAUUAACUCCAAAGUGCAGUUCAAGGGGAGCCAGGACUGAUAGUUUUCUCUGUGUGGCUGAAUAUAAAUGAACUGAGAAGUACUGAGGGCCACAGCUGGUGGUCUCCAUGCCCAGAGAUUCCCCAGCGCGUACCUGGGUACAUAAUGACCUGGAUACCUAGUCUGCCUUCUGGAACAUCAGAUAGACGUGUCCGCUUAGGGUUCUGUGGCUCUUCCGUGUCACUGAGAGCAAAAGUCCUAUAUAAUGACCUUGUGGGUGGCCUAGCUUUAGACCUCAGAUGGAACGGCACACAAUGAUACUGUUUUCAUGUAUAAAAAAGUAUGUAAGAAUGUGCACUUUUAUCCCCUUUGCAUCUGAAUCUGAUACUUGUUCUUUUACCUUUUCGUGUAAAGGAUUGAAAUAUUUUAAAAUUACAGAAGCAAAUCCCCAAACGGGAAUCACAGUCAGCUGUAUUAGUCAGCUUCUGCUGCCUAACAAGCUAUUCUACAAUUUAGUGGACUGAAAAGGGACUUUUGUCACCUCACCGUUUCUGUGGGUCAGGAAUUUGGGAGUGGUUCUCCCUCAGAACGCUUGUGAGGUUCCAGUCAUGAAGUGGGCUGGAAUCACUUAAAGGACAGACGGGAUUUGGAGGAUCCACUUCCACGAUGGUGCCCUCCUGUGGAUGUCGGCAGGCACCUCACCACAUGGGACUCUAUAGAGGGCAGCUGCUUCCCCAGAGCCGGGCCCUCAGCUUCCGGGCCUAGACGCUACCAUGUAGUCAACAUUUUAUUGGCUGCACAGAUCCUCUUUAUUCAGCGUGGAACGGGACUCCAUCAGGACGUAAGUAACGGUCAGGGGCCAUUGGGCGCCAUUUUGAACACUGACUACAGAGCCCAGAAUCCUGCUGCACACAAGGGCACUCCUGAACACCGUCCCCCUGCACUCCCCGUUCACCUCGACCUUCCUUGGCAGGCAAAGCACAGGGGUCCAGUGUUCAUCUAAGUUGUCUUCUCACAAGAAGAAACUUUCCUUUCUCUUUCUCAGUAAAGGACGUCCCAUUGGCCCAUAUGGCUUUCCCGCCUAAAUAAACAACCCCCUGUUCAGUUCAACAGCUUCUCCAGAGAAAACUUUCCACCUUAAUAGACAGGUGUAGAUUGUCCAAUGGUGGGCGCGGCACCAUUCCUGACAGCCUGGCUCCAUUCCAUGGCCACACCUUCCACUGCCUUCUCCCAACAACUUUCUGUGGUCCCCAAGAGCUGACUGAGUGUUUACUGAGGUCGCCAUGGCAACGCCUCUUCCGAGGAGGCUGAGGGGUGUUUCAUCCACCUGGUGACAUCGUGUUCUGUGUCUCUCCUGCUUUUCCAACAGCACUUUGGAGUCGGGCUCUCUGUCUCCGCUCAGCACUCAUUCUUACUCUAUCCAUUGAACCUUUGCCGGGCAUUUCUCAAGCACAUUGUCUAUGAAAUAUGUAAGCAGGAGGCCUUAGAAAGAACAAGUUCCUAUAAAAUGGUCGGUAACAACAGCUUUGCUGUUCACCGUGAUCACUGCCCAGACUCCCCUAUUCCCCCGAAUGGUGUUCGCCCCACCCAUGCCACACCAUCCAUUCUGCUCCCCAUCACGACACUGUUUUUUUUUUUUUUUUUUGGUGUUUUACGAAACGAGACAUUAUUCAGAGCAAAAAACUAACAUGGAAUGCUGAUAAGGAAGAGCUACCCCGGCAAGAGCAGAGAAAAUAGUCACUUAAUCCUGGCUACUAGUCCCAACUCUUCCAGGGAGAUUUGUGGCGUAAGGUUCAGAGAUCUGAUCCAGCAACCCAUCACUAAAGCGAAUAAGCAUCUGACAGCGUGACCCCGCUUUUCUGGUGUCCAUGAGGACACGCUCCGGGGAAACCCAUCCAGAACUGACCUCCCUGUCCAUGAGACCGCAUUUCAUUAUUACCAUCCUGGAACCUGGAAUUUCUUUGGUAACUUGUUAAAUGCUGCUGGGGAUGGCAAAAUAAAGCCUCUGGCAACCCUGCGUAUUUUUGCUGUUGCCAUCUUCACUGAUAAAUUGCCCAAUUUUCUUAGCAAAUUCAGCAACAAUAACAGUUUUCUGCUAGCAAAAUAACCUUUCAUUUUUUACAAAAAAAAAAAAAGGUGGUGGAGAGGGGCUGGAAUAAAAACAAGUGGUAGAGGUGGCAUGUUUCCCACAAAACCAAGUUCCUAAUUUUUAGUUUUCUCUAGCUGUGGGUAGGGACUGGCUUUUUGUUUCUCAUAAAUAAAAGGGCUACGUUUAUGCUCGGCCUAAGGCAUCCUCUGAUGCCUGGCUAAAUCGUUUUGAUAGGAAAGAUUUAUUGGAAUACUUUAUAAUUCCAUGAUGAAUGAGGUAGAUUAUUUUCUUUGGUUCUGUCUGACACCCCUCCUGCCCAAUCUGAUAGCAUCACCGUGCUUUUUUAUGGCUGAGUUUCUGAGAAGUCGUGUUUAGUAGGACACACGAUAGGUAGGAAUUUCUGCCUUGUCCAUCAACAAUGAGAGGAGCAUGUUCAGAGAGAGGUGUGGAUGAGGGGGCUCUCUGAUUCAAGGUUGGUGACCAGCCUCUGCCACAGAGAAGCCCAGAGAGAAGGUGAACUGUGACCGUCCCUGUUUUCAUCAUGAAUUCGUCCCUGAUACCAAGAGGAAGGCAGAGACAGGAUUUGGUGUGAUGUGAGCUGGAACUGAGAGGCAAAUAAAAGCCAGAAUCAUGAGCCAUCAACCCGAGGAGGCCAAUUCCCAGACAGAUAACCAUGUCUACCCACAGAGACGCCCGGGCAUGCGGAGCAGGGACAAGCAAGUUCUGUGAACCACCGACAAUCAGACUCUGAGGGCGAAAUAUAUUCCCAGGGCAGUGAAAUCCAAGAAACUCUGACUUUGCGUUUUGCUGGGGCUCAAUCUUCAAUCUCUCUGAUUUUGCUUUAAUCCUCAUGUUCCAACCCAGAUCCGUCAAUGAAGCCGAAUUCCAGCCCGGACAGGUUUUUGGCUUCUUCCCAGGUCUCGCUUAGACCUGGGCACCUAGGAGGUCACGCAGCUGUAGGAAGACUUGUGCUGUGGCAUCCUGCACAAGGUGACGGAGGCAGUGUAGUCUCUGGCAGGGACAAACACUCUGGGCUCUGGGACUGAGGUGACUUGGGUGGAAAUGCAGACUACCACGUGCCACACAGGCACACUGGCCAAAUGGCUGCCCAUCCCGUGCUUCUGUCUAGUUCCAUCUCGUUCGUAGGGUUUCACGGCUUAGUACGACUGGUUAGGAAAAGGGGCCGGGUGUGGAGCAGGUGCUUCAUGAUGUGAAAUUCCACUUUCCCUUUUCCAAAUCCCUUAGAACUUAACUGUGUUCCUUGUAUCAGGGAGCUAAAGAGAUUUGCAAAAUUAGCCCAGAAACUCUUGGACAAUUAAAACACGAACUUAGAAACAUAAGCUUGACUCCAUCUUUGGUUUAGCUUUGCUUUAUCCACAGCCAGAGAACAUCCCGCCAGCCCACCUUGAUGCUUGUGUGGAGAGACCAGCUGUUUGUUGUGACCUGGGUCUAAUUCCUGGCCUUCAGGUCGAAGCUCUCCUCCUACUCUCUGGCUAUUUUGUUCAGGAGAAGGGGAACAAACUGCCUUUGAUUCUAGGUCAGGGCAUAUGAUUCAUGCCUGGUUUUGGAAACUGGCUCAAAGCUCUCCAAGGAGACUCAAACUAGAAGUUUUCUGGCAAAGGAGAUGAAAAAAACCAUGUUAUUUUGCAUUGAAGUUACUAAGCCUAGAGCUUCUGAGUGCCAUCAGGAAUGGCAGAGUCCCCUGAGAGGGGAGUUGACACAGAAGGAAGCUUAGGUGGGUGAGAAGUCCUAACAAUAUUAUUUGAACUCCUAGAUCCAUAGGAGGUUAAUGUAAAAUCUAUUUUUUUUUUUUUGCCAUUAGGUACAUGAAUCAAGUAUUUCUCUUUCCACCUUUUUAUUAUCUUUGAAUCUGAGGUAGGUUGCUUGUACACUGUAUUCAGUUUGGCAAUGUUUUUUUUUUUAAAUCCAUAUUGAUAAUCCCUCUACCUUUUUAUUAGAGUGUUUAAUCCAGUUACAUUUAGUAUAAUUAUUGAUAAUGCAGGAUUUAUGUCUGCCAUUUUGCUAUUUAUUUUCAGUAUAUUUCAUGUCUUUUUACAUUCUUAAUUUCCUCAUUACAGACUUCUUUUUGUGUUAAACAGACUUUCCUGUUUACCAUUUUACUUCCUUCUUGUUUCUUUUACAAUGUAAUUUUCUUAGUGGUUGUCAUGGAGAUUGCAAUUAACAUCUCAACUUAAGAUAACCUAUUUCAAAUUAAGGUUAACUUUAAUAGUAUCUAGAAACUCUGCAUCAGAUAGAGCACCAUUCCCUUCUUCUUCCUCUGUGCAAUUAUUGUAAUACAAAUUAAAUUUUUACCUACUGUAA